AGUGAACGCUGGCGGUAGGCCUAACACAUGCAAGUCGAACGGCAGCACAGUAAGAGCUUGCUCUUACGGGUGGCGAGUGGCGGACGGGUGAGGAAUACAUCGGAAUCUACUUUUUCGUGGGGGACAACGUAGGGAAACUUACGCUAAUACCGCAUACGACCUACGGGUGAAAGCAGGGGAGAUUCGGACCUUGCGCGAUUGAAUGAGCCGAUGUCGGAUUAGCUAGUUGGCGGGGUAAAGGCCCACCAAGGCGACGAUCCGUAGCUGGUCUGAGAGGAUGAUCAGCCACACUGGAACUGGAACACGGUCCAGACUCCUACGGGAGGCGGCAGUGGGGAAUAUUCGACAAUGGGCGCAAGCCUGAUCCAGCCAUACCGCGUGGGUGAGGAGGGCCUUCGGGUGGUAAAGCCCUUUUGUUGGGAAAGAAAAGCAGCAGGUUAAUACCCCGCUGUUCUGACGGUACCCAAAGAAUAAGCACCGGCUAACUUCGUG
rnacentral:rRNA from 1 species